GCUACGGGUGGCAGCAGUGAGGAAUAUUGGUCAAUGGACGGAAGUCUGAACCAGCCAUGCCGCGUGCAGGAAGACGGCUCUAUGAGUUGUAAACUGCUUUUGUACAAGGGUAAACCUGAAUACGUGUAUUCAGCUGAAAGUACUGUACGAAUAAGGAUCGGCUAACUCCGUGCCAGCAGCCGCGGUAAUAUGGGGGAUCCAAGCGUUAUCCGGAUUUAUUGGGUUUAAAGGGGGCGUAGGCGGUUUGGUAAGUUAGAGGUGAAAUGCCGGGGCUCAACACCGGAACUGCCGUUAAUACUGUUGAACUAGAGCGUAGUUGCGGUAGGCGGAAUGUAUGGUGUAGCGGUGAAAUGCUUAGAGAUCAUACAGAACACCGAUUGCGAAGGCAGCUUACCAAACUAUAUCUGACGUUGAGGCACGAAAGCGUGGGUAGCAAACAGGAUUAGAUACCCGAGUAGUC
rnacentral:rRNA from 1 species